UAAAAGGAUGAGAUGCUGACUGAGA
rnacentral:piRNA from 1 species